rnacentral:rRNA from 1 species
CUACGGGGCGCACCAGUGGGGAAUAUUGGACAAUGGACCAAAAGUCUGAUCCAGCAAUUCUGUGUGCACGAUGAAGGUUUUAGGAUCGUAAAGUGCUUUCAACAGGGAAGAAGUUCUGACGGUACCUGUAGAAGAAGUGACGGCUAAAUACGUGCCAGCAGCCGCGGUAAUACGUAUGUCACAAGCGUUAUCCGGAUUUAUUGGGCAUAAAGGGCACCUAGGCGGCUUAGUAAGUCUGAUGUGAAAAUGCGGGGCUCAACCCCGUAUUGCGCUGGAACUACUUAGCUAGAGUAUUGGAGAGGUAGGCGGAACUACAUGUGUAGAGGUGAAAUUCGUAGAUAUAUGUAGGAAUGCCGAUGACGAAGGUAGCUUACUGGACAAUUACUGACGCUGAAGUGCGAAAGCUAGGGGAGCGAACAGGAUUAGAUACCCCCGUAGUC